rnacentral:rRNA from 1 species
CCCUUAGAUGUUCUGGGCCGCACGCGCGCUACACUGAUGCAUUCAACGAGCCUAUCCUUGACCGACAGGUCCGGGUAAUCUUUGAAUCUGCAUCGUGACGGGGAUAGAUUAUUGCAAUUAUUAAUCUUCAACGAGGAAUGCCUAGUAGGCGCAAGUCAUCAGCUUGCGUCGAUUACGUCCCUUCCCUUUGUACACACCGCCCGUCGCUCCUACCGAUUGGGUGUGCUGGUGAAAUGUUCGGAUCGGCCGUUUGUCGCGGUUUCCGCGGCUCGUGGCUGAGAAGUUCAUUAAACCCUCCCACCUAGAGGAAGGAGAAGUCGUAACA